CUACGGAGGGUGCAAGCGUUACUCGGAAUCACUGGGCGUAAAGCGCGCGCAGGCGGUCUUUUAAGUUGGAUGUGAAAGCCUACGGCUCAACCGUAGAACUGCAUCCAAAACUAUUAGACUAGAGUGUGGGAGAGGAAGAUGGAAUUAGUUGUGUAGGGGUAAAAUCCGUAGAGAUAACUAGGAAUACCAAAAGCGAAGGCAAUCUUCUGGAACACUACUGACGCUGAGGCGCGAAAGCGUGGGGAGCAAACAGGAUUAGAUACCCCAGUAGUCC
rnacentral:rRNA from 1 species